rnacentral:rRNA from 1 species
GGACCCGCACAAGCGGUGGAUGAUGUGGAUUAAUUCGAUGCAACGCGAAAAACCUUACCUACCCUUGACAUGCCAGGAACCGGCAAGAGAUUGCCGGGUGCCUUCGGGAGCCUGGACACAGGUGCUGCAUGGCUGUCGUCAGCUCGUGUCGUGAGAUGUUGGGUUAAGUCCCGCAACGAGCGCAACCCUUGUCACCAGUUGCCAUCAUUUAGUUGGGCACUCUGGUGAGACUGCCGGUGACAAACCGGAGGAAGGUGGGGAUGACGUCAAGUCCUCAUGGCCCUUAUGGGUAGGGCUUCACACGUCAUACAAUGGUCGGUACAGAGGGACGCGAAGCCGCGAGGUGGAGGCCAAUCCCCAUAAAAGCCGAUCGUAGUCCGGAUCGCAGUCUGCAACUCGACUGCGUGAAGUCGGAAUCGCUAGUAAUCGCGGAUCAGCAUGCCG